rnacentral:rRNA from 1 species
AACGAACGCUGGCGGCAGGCCUAACACAUGCAAGUCGAACGAGAAGCCACCUUCGGGUGGUGGACAGUGGCAGACGGGUGAGUAACGCGUGGGAACGUGCCUUUCGGUUCGGGACAACCCAGGGAAACUUGGGCUAAUACCGGAUACGCCCUUCGGGGAAGGAUUCAUUGCCGAAAGAUCGGCCCGGCGUCGGAUUAGCUAGUUGGUGGGGUAAAAGGACCUACCAAGGCGACGAUCCGUAGCUGGUCUGAGAGGANGACCAGCCACACU